rnacentral:rRNA from 1 species
GACGAACGCUGGCGGCGUGCUUAACACAUGCAAGUCGAACGGAAAGGCCCGGCUUUUGUGGGGUGCUCGAGUGGCGAACGGGUGAGUAACACGUGAGUAACCUGCCCCUGACUUUGGGAUAACUUCAGGAAACUGGGGCGAAUAUCGGGUAGGGUCUCCUGCUGCAUGGUGGGGGUUGGAAAGUGUCGGCGGUUGGGGCUGGACUCGCGGCUUAUCAGCUUGUUGGGGGGGUAGUGGCUUACCAAGGGUUUGACGGCUAGCCGGCCUGAGAGCGUGGACGGCCACAUUGGGACUGAGGGAGGGCGCAGUAGGGUACGGGGGGCAGUGGGGGGGAGUAUGGCACAGUGGGCGGAAGCCUGAUGCAGCGACGCCGCGUGCGGGAUGACCGGCUUCGAGUGGUAAACAGAUUUCUACUGUGCCGAAGCGUGAGUGACGGUAACGAGUCAAGAAGCCCCGGCUAACUACGUG